rnacentral:rRNA from 1 species
AUUGAACGCUGGCGGCCGGCCUAACACAUGCAAGUCGAACGAAUGGCGGACGGGUGAGUAAUGUCUGGGAAACUGCCUGAUGGAGGGGGAUAACUACUGGAAACGGUAGCUAAUACCGCAUACCAUCAGAUGUGCCCAGAUGGGAUUAGCUAGUUGGUGGGGUAACGGCUCACAAGGGCGACGAUCCCUAGCUGGUCUGAGAGGAUGACCAGCCACUCUGGAACUGAGACACGGUCCAGACGCCUACGGGAGGCAGCAGUGGGGAAUAGUGCACAAUGGGCGCAAGCCUGAUGCAGCCAUGCCGCGUGUAUGAAGAAGGCUUUCGGGUUGGAAAGUACUUUCAGCGGGGAGGCGUUACCCGCAGAAGAAGCACCGGCUAACUCCGUGCCAGCCGCCGCGGUAAUUC